rnacentral:rRNA from 1 species
UACAGAGGGUGCGAGCGUUGUCCGGAAUCAUUGGGCGUAAAGGGCGCGUAGGUGGCCCGGUCAGUUCGUGGUGAAAGCGCGGGGCUCAACCCUGCGUCGGCCAUGAAUACUGCCGCGGCUGGAGCACUGUAGAGGCAGGCGGAAUUCCCGGUGUAGUGGUGAAAUGCGUAGAUAUCGGGAGGAACACCAGUGGCGAAGGCGGCCCCCUGGGCCGCUCCUGACGCUGAGGAGCGAAAGCUAGGGGAGCAAACGGG